rnacentral:rRNA from 1 species
UUAAGCGACUAAGCGUACACGGUGGAUGCCCUGGCAGUCAGAGGCGAUGAAGGACGUGCUAAUCUGCGAUAAGCGUCGGUAAGGUGAUAUGAACCGUUAUAACCGGCGAUUUCCGAAUGGGGAAACCCAGUGUGAUUCGUCACACUAUCAUUAACUGAAUCCAUAGGUUAAUGAGGCGAACCGGGGGAACUGAAACAUCUAAGUACCCCGAGGAAAAGAAAUCAACCGAGAUUCCCCCAGUAGCGGCGAGCGAACGGGGAGCAGCCCAGAGCCUGAAUCAGUGUGUGUGUUAGUGGAAGCGUCUGGAAAGGCGCGCGAUACAGGGUGACAGCCCCGUACACAAAAAUGCACAUGCUGUGAGCUCGAUGAGUAGGGCGGGACACGUGGUAUCCUGUCUGAAUAUGGGGGGACCAUCCUCCAAGGCUAAAUACUCCUGACUGACCGAUAGUGAACCAGUACCGUGAGGGAAAGGCGAAAAGAACCCCGGCGAGGGGAGUGAAAAAGAACCUGAAACCGUGUACGUACAAGCAGUGGGAGCACGCUUAGGCGUGUGACUGCGUACCUUUUGUAUAAUGGGUCAGCGACUUAUAUUCUGUAGCAAGGUUAACCGAAUAGGGGAGCCGAAGGGAAACCGAGUCUUAACUGGGCGUUAAGUUGCAGGGUAUAGACCCGAAACCCGGUGAUCUAGCCAUGGGCAGGUUGAAGGUUGGGUAACACUAACUGGAGGACCGAACCGACUAAUGUUGAAAAAUUAGCGGAUGACUUGUGGCUGGGGGUGAAAGGCCAAUCAAACCGGGAGAUAGCUGGUUCUCCCCGAAAGCUAUUUAGGUAGCGCCUCGUGAAUUCAUCUCCGGGGGUAGAGCACUGUUUCGGCAAGGGGGUCAUCCCGACUUACCAACCCGAUGCAAACUGCGAAUACCGGAGAAUGUUAUCACGGGAGACACACGGCGGGUGCUAACGUCCGUCGUGAAGAGGGAAACAACCCAGACCGCCAGCUAAGGUCCCAAAGUCAUGGUUAAGUGGGAAACGAUGUGGGAAGGCCCAGACAGCCAGGAUGUUGGCUUAGAAGCAGCCAUCAUUUAAAGAAAGCGUAAUAGCUCACUGGUCGAGUCGGCCUGCGCGGAAGAUGUAACGGGGCUAAACCAUGCACCGAAGCUGCGGCAGCGACGCUUAUGCGUUGUUGGGUAGGGGAGCGUUCUGUAAGCCUGCGAAGGUGUGCUGUGAGGCAUGCUGGAGGUAUCAGAAGUGCGAAUGCUGACAUAAGUAACGAUAAAGCGGGUGAAAAGCCCGCUCGCCGGAAGACCAAGGGUUCCUGUCCAACGUUAAUCGGGGCAGGGUGAGUCGACCCCUAAGGCGAGGCCGAAAGGCGUAGUCGAUGGGAAACAGGUUAAUAUUCCUGUACUUGGUGUUACUGCGAAGGGGGGACGGAGAAGGCUAUGUUGGCCGGGCGACGGUUGUCCCGGUUUAAGCGUGUAGGCUGGUUUUCCAGGCAAAUCCGGAAAAUCAAGGCUGAGGCGUGAUGACGAGGCACUACGGUGCUGAAGCAACAAAUGCCCUGCUUCCAGGAAAAGCCUCUAAGCAUCAGGUAACAUCAAAUCGUACCCCAAACCGACACAGGUGGUCAGGUAGAGAAUACCAAGGCGCUUGAGAGAACUCGGGUGAAGGAACUAGGCAAAAUGGUGCCGUAACUUCGGGAGAAGGCACGCUGAUAUGUAGGUGAAGUCCCUCGCGGAUGGAGCUGAAAUCAGUCGAAGAUACCAGCUGGCUGCAACUGUUUAUUAAAAACACAGCACUGUGCAAACACGAAAGUGGACGUAUACGGUGUGACGCCUGCCCGGUGCCGGAAGGUUAAUUGAUGGGGUUAGCCGCAAGGCGAAGCUCUUGAUCGAAGCCCCGGUAAACGGCGGCCGUAACUAUAACGGUCCUAAGGUAGCGAAAUUCCUUGUCGGGUAAGUUCCGACCUGCACGAAUGGCGUAAUGAUGGCCAGGCUGUCUCCACCCGAGACUCAGUGAAAUUGAACUCGCUGUGAAGAUGCAGUGUACCCGCGGCAAGACGGAAAGACCCCGUGAACCUUUACUAUAGCUUGACACUGAACAUUGAGCCUUGAUGUGUAGGAUAGGUGGGAGGCUUUGAAGUGUGGACGCCAGUCUGCAUGGAGCCGACCUUGAAAUACCACCCUUUAAUGUUUGAUGUUCUAACGUUGACCCGUAAUCCGGGUUGCGGACAGUGUCUGGUGGGUAGUUUGACUGGGGCGGUCUCCUCCUAAAGAGUAACGGAGGAGCACGAAGGUUGGCUAAUCCUGGUCGGACAUCAGGAGGUUAGUGCAAUGGCAUAAGCCAGCUUGACUGCGAGCGUGACGGCGCGAGCAGGUGCGAAAGCAGGUCAUAGUGAUCCGGUGGUUCUGAAUGGAAGGGCCAUCGCUCAACGGAUAAAAGGUACUCCGGGGAUAACAGGCUGAUACCGCCCAAGAGUUCAUAUCGACGGCGGUGUUUGGCACCUCGAUGUCGGCUCAUCACAUCCUGGGGCUGAAGUAGGUCCCAAGGGUAUGGCUGUUCGCCAUUUAAAGUGGUACGCGAGCUGGGUUUAGAACGUCGUGAGACAGUUCGGUCCCUAUCUGCCGUGGGCGCUGGAGAACUGAGGGGGGCUGCUCCUAGUACGAGAGGACCGGAGUGGACGCAUCACUGGUGUUCGGGUUGUCAUGCCAAUGGCACUGCCCGGUAGCUAAAUGCGGAAGAGAUAAGUGCUGAAAGCAUCUAAGCACGAAACUUGCCCCGAGAUGAGUUCUCCCUGACUCCUUGAGAGUCCUGAAGGAACGUUGAAGACGACGACGUUGAUAGGCCGGGUGUGUAAGCGCAGCGAUGCGUUGAGCUAACCGGUACUAAUGAACCGUGAGGCUUAACCUU